CAUAUGCACACACACUUGAGCACACACAUGCACAUGCACACACAUACACAACAAUCAAUAAAUGGCUGUAACUUGGGAGAAUAUUAAGACUCCCUAAUCUAAAAGUUUAGUGUGGAGGAAGCAGACACCUAGUCACUGGUAGUGUAACUAAUUUGCAUAAGCAUGUUUAGUAAUGGCUUGCACUGUAAAGUCUAAUUCCAGGUUUUGCUGCAAAGGCUGAGGUGCGUGCGUGCAUGCGUGUCUGUGUGUGUGUGUGUGUGUGUGUGUGUCUGUGUGUGUGGUCCCAUCUCAUGUGCCUGUGUUAUGUUGAUGGCUCUUAGGAAUUUAGCUGGACUGGCUGGCCAGCAAGCCUCAGGGUCCUGCUGCCUCUGUCUUAGCAACCCUGGAAGUACACAUGUGCUGCCCCUUUUGUGGGUGCUGGGCCUCAAGCCUGGGUCCCAUGCUUGUGCUGCAAGCAUUUCAUCACGCCCCAAGUUUUGUUUGUUUUAAGCUACCACUCAGUGGUGAUUAUCAAAGGCAAUAAGACUAUGGGAAUCACAGGACUAAUAAAUUACCACAGUGUCCUGAGAAACAGCAAAAUACAAUGCCAAAAAAAAAAAAAAACCCUAGAUUUUUACUCAAACACCAAUACACAGGCUUCUAAUUCUUCACGCUGGAUGGAAGCGAGUGAAAAUGAGUGAAAGACGUAAGGAAGCCCAACCCAGCUGGGCACACACUACAGCAACGGGGAAGACGGUGGCACCCUGUACUCACCCAGCUUCUAAUCUGCAAUCUCCUGCCAUUGAGCAAAACAAAGCGGAACUGGGAAAGGACCAUUUUUGUGGUGGGAAACAGACUUGGAGUUGCUUAUAUUUCAAAAAGUUAAACCUUCAAAAGCUUUAAAACGCAAAUGGAGAGGAAGCCACACACUUUCCCAAAGUUAUAAAGUUGUUUGUGAUGUGCAGAGACAAAGGAAUCUACAAAUGUUCCUGUGCUAAGCACAGAAAUCACAUAGAUAUAACUUUCACAGAGUUCAGAGGAAAGAAAUUGUAUGCAUGGGUAAUUCAAUCCAACCCCACCCCCACCCCUGCCGCCCCCUGUAAUCCACUGGCAGUGUGUAGAGUUUAAGGCAAACCAGAGAGAGAAAGAGGCGAGCACACCGGCAGCGCAGGUACAGCUCCGAUGCACAAGGUGAGACCCAGCGGUGCCGGUGGACCAAUUCUGGGAAUGCACAAAAGUCACUUUCCACUCCCUCACCAGAAGAGCCUCAGCGUCAGGAACGACUUCCAAAUGACCGGGAGGCUCGAGCAAGAAGCUGAGCAUCCUCCCUGCUGCCUGUGGCCCAGGCGUGGGGUGGGGCGGGUGCUGGGUGUGUGCUUGGUGGCUCUAGAGCCGGCUGCUAUGCCUUUGGAGCCCUGCAGACGCUCAGUUCGCCCCGUGCAUCAUGAAAGGACACCCUGCCGUCUCUGUCUCUGCAACACACCUGGAGGGGCAUGUUCCCUGAAGCACCAGAGUUGUCCGGGAAUACAAAAUCUGUUCCAUAGAUGUGCAGCAAACGUCUUUUAAAAGAAGCGAGUUAAACCACUGGAUUGCCCUUCUUACAAACAGAUUGGCUCUGGGAACGAUCAGCAUCCUCGCUGGGACAAGCGAUGCGAUGGCUAUGACGCUUUAAAGGUCCUUUUCUUGACCACCACGCUAGGUCACCCUACCCUUAGAGGCUCUCCUGGUCCUAGCUGAGCCCUGGGGUCAGGCGAGGGCGAACCAUCCCGCUGCCUCCCGCCUCCACUUCGCGGCGACACGCAUCGGGUGCCGCUGUCUAGGCGGGGCAGCCCCAUGCGUCCCCGCGGGGACAGUGCCCACUCCACAGAGCCCCGGAACCUCCGGCGGAUGCCUGGCACCCGGCCCGCGCCCCCUCCAGGGCGAGCGCCCCGCACCUGUGUCGCCUGCUUCGGCCGCCAGACUCGGGAGCACGUCCGCCCGCACGUCGAAGUGGGUGAGCAGCCGCAGAGCCAUGGCCCUUUGCAAGCACCGGGCGGGCGGACAUUCCGGGCCCGGCGCCCACCUCCCAGCCCUGCAGCCUCCUCUCCUUCCUCCCCGCUUCCCCGCAGCUGCUUUCGGUUCUGGGCGGUCCAGCCUGGAGAUCCCGAGCACCGCCCCGCCCAGGCUGCAGCCUGUGCCAGCAAGGCCCUGACGACCGGCCGGGUGGCUUAGCCUGCGGCUCCCUGACCGAUCAUCAACACGGGCCAGGCUUCCUUCUCCAGACUCAGGUCAUUUCCACCACUUAGCUAGGGCUGGGUCACUGGAGGAGAUCCAGGGUUACCACAAAAGCCCCUGGUGUCUUGGGCCAGUUCUACUGAGCAGGCUACCGUGUUUUUAGCUGUAGCGUUUCAGUAAUAAACAGCAGCAGGGAGCAUGUAAACUGUGUGGUGACAUCGAGGAGGAGGGUUAGCUUGCCAGCUUGGGUUCUCUGUCUUUCCGUCCCUGCAGUAACUAACUGGCUUGAGGAAGCUGGUUGUCGUGGAAUGGCCACUGAAGAGCUUUGUGGGCACUUUCGUUCUUCCAGGGUUCCUCUACAAGUAAAUCCAGCGUUUUCAUAAUCUAGCACUCGGGCUUACUCUGCUCAAAUAAUUCACCGUAGUAUGCUUGGCCCUGUGACAUGUCAUCCACCCUGUACGUCAACUCCUGGUUAUUAAUUACUGUUGCUAAAACUGAAACAGCCUUAUCGUACACAGUGUCACAUGCUUACAAUCCUCGAACUUGGGAAGCUGAGGCAGGAGAAUAGCUUCGAGGUCACAGUCAGCCUGGGCUAGAGAGAGAGAGACUUGGUGUCAAAACAAAACUCAUAUCUCAAGGAAGAAGACCAACAACUUACUGCCCUAGAAAAAAAAAACUGCCUGGUCUUUUUGCCCAACCCUGAGCCCUUUCUACCUAGAACUUGAACUCCUAGACCCUGUGGGAUGUUCCCACUCUCCUCCUGCCUAGAACAAUUCCCAGGUGAGCCCAGCCCUGCUCCACAGAGCCUCCUCCUCACACUGCAGCCUUCCUGACCCUACUGUGUCAUUGCUAACGCAUUUAAUUGCACCUGAGGUAGAUUUCUGAGAUAUUGAAAUUCAGUUUUGAGUCUUGAGGUGCCUCUUCUGCCCCACCAAUGGCUGAAGAGGGCGCCUGGGAGAGUGUAUGGUUGUAUUAAUAACCUGAAGAAUGUUUUCUUCACUUAGGUCUCAAAGUUGCGAUUUCACAAGUAUGGGUACCAGAAUUACCCUGAGGAUCUGUCUUAGAGUGCAGGCUGUUUUCUGGCUUGGAUCUCAGAGAUGGUUUCCCCAAGUCUUGGAACCCAAUCAGCCCCUUCCCUCCAAGGCUUAAAGACCAUUGAGGGAAGACUGUAAGAACCAGAGGGCACAAGGACUGAGCCUGAACAGCAUCUCCCUGACAUGCAUGGGUGCUGUUCUCACAGCAGCGCUGGUUGGCUGCACAAGACCUCUAAAAGAUCAGGCCAUCAACACCGCCAGCAUAGGAGUGGGAGGGAACAUGAACUCUUGACAGCUGAUGACUUCUGGGAAGAGAGAGCCAGUUUUCUUUAAGGGUAGGUCUAAAAGAACGUAUUUUAAAUAAACUCAUAUGUACUGAAUAAGAUAAACUUUAAAAACCAGAAGCAAACUUGGCAUUUGGGGAAUUAUGCCUUUGAAAGUAUGGUCAAGAACUUCUUGAAAUUCAUAGAAGUCAAUUAAAAACAUUAGAUUCUAGAUAGUACAUGACAAAAUUCAUCUGCACUGCCUAGAAAAUAAUUAAAGUCUGGACCAAAAAUACAAUAGUCCUUUACAAUGAGGUGGUUUGUUAUGUAGGUAUUAAGAAUGCUGCUUUCUUAUUAAAAUUUACUUUUUUUUUCCUGAGACAUUUUCUGUUGACAGCCCUUGCUGUCCUAGAAUUCGCUCUGUAGAUGAGGCUGACCUUGAACUCACAGAGAUCUACCUGUUUCUGUCUCAUGAGUGCUGGGAUUAAAGGCGUGAGCCACCAAGCCUGACUGAAAUUUACUCUUAAUAGAAAUAGAAAAUAUAUUUACGAAGUAAAUAUUUACCAAGGUAGUCACUAUGACUUUCCAAAACCCAUUUGCACCAGUCAGGAGGGAACAGUUCCUCUUGGUUGAUGUUGGACUGGCACUCAGAGCUGAGUUCCCAAGGAGUUAAUAAAAACCAGAAUUAACCAUAAAUGAAACGCAGAGGUUUUAUUCCUCACCCACCUGGGGGAGGGUAGUCCAAAGCUCAGAGGGCAGGUUCCUGCAGUCCCCAGGGCCUGAGCUCAUUUUAGCUCGUGUUCUAUCAGACUUUGACUAAACAUUUGUCCUCAUGGGUCAAGGUGAUAGUGACCGUUCAACCAUCAUACUUACAUCCUAGAAAUCAAAAGGAAGAUGGGGGUUAAAAGGAUACCUCCCGAAAGUUCUGCACACUUUUGAACUUUUCAACCAUUUUGGCUUAUAUAAUAUGGUUUGCAAUUUUGUGCUUUUAUGGAAUUUCUGUGUGUGUGUGCCUUGUGCUUUUUUUACCCCACACACACAUUUGUUUGUUUUGUCAUAUUCUGGUUUGUUUCUUUUAUUUUAUCUUAUUUAUUUAUCUAUCUUAGAUGCUUUCUUGUUUUCUAAUGAGAGAGAGCAUGAGAGGGUGUAGAUUUGAGUGGGUAAGGAGAUGGGAGGGUCUGGGAGGAGUUUGGGGGAAGGGAAACCAUAAUCAGAAUAUAGUUUAUGAAAAAAAUCUAUUUUCGAUAAAAACAAAAGUGGUGUUUAGAGUCUAUCAUUCCGUUUUAAGCGGCUGAUCUGAUUAUUAUUAAAAUAUAUCAUUUUCCAGUCUGCUUACUGUGUCUUACACAAAUUUCCAUUCUCCUCCUUCCCUUUCUACUCUUCGCUCCCUCCCCUUCUCUUUCUGAAUGAGCCCCUCCUGAAACCAUCGGGUCAGGCAAGGAAAAGUCUGCGCAGGUAGAACUGAGAGCAGGUGUUGGUCAACAUUCUAGAUGCCAGCAAGUUCAAACAGGAUAAAGAAAGAAUCUAGGCCAGGGUAUGUCCCCAGCAUACGAUGUCGCAUCAGAGGCUAUCUGAAUCGGGUAGGAAGGGCAGGAGGGAUCCAGACUAGGAAAUCGGAUGUGAGGCCCCUUACAGAACCAUCUUGGAGAACAUGCAGCAGCUAACCUCGAGGACUGGCGUCUUACCUGGGAAUGGAUCUGUUGAGUGAGCACAUUAAGAACAACAGGAAGACGCUAUGACCUGGUGAAAUAGGAAGCCAACAGCAGGAAGAGAUAAGGGUACGUACACCACACAGAUCAACUGGAAGUUUGAUGAGGAAAAGGAUGCCUAACUUCCAAAAUACUUAUUAAGUCUGGAAUAUGCCAUUUCGUCAAGUGAACACUAUCAGUGCAGAAUAGAUGGUCAUUCCAGAAUAGUAUCAGCUGAAAAAACAAAUGGCCUGGAUGUAAUCAUGAGGGAACAUCACACAAACCCAGCAGGAGACACACCACAUAAUAAUUGAAGUGUAAUCUCCAGAAGGAGGAAGGCUGUGAAGGCCAAGGAAAGACUGACAGGCUGUGCAAACAAGAGGACCCUAAGAAGACAUGACGAUAAACAUUCCACACAGCCUUCGCCUGGGCCCUUGUCCUGUCAAACGCACUAGUAGCCCAAAUGAAUAAAUCUGAGUGAAUUUA